CCUAAAUAAAUACGUUGCAAAGUGCAUGACAGUUUCAAACAUUCUAUUUGAUAUUAAACAGACUUCCCCUGCAAACACCCGUCAUCGGUGUCGGAGAGGAACACUACCACAGAUCGUCUUGGCACGACGUCGACAGGAGGGCAUCAAUCACCUGCUGCAUCUGGUGGUGAGCAUCCUCUUCUGUCCUUGGCUAAUCUUCUGGAUGGUCUUGUGUCUUCAUGAGCGCACCUCAAACCGGAAGUCGAGACGCAAGGGGACAAAGCAAUGGUUAUAGACAGCAACAAGGAAAUAUAGACAGGAGAUGCAUGUGGAUUAUAUUUUACAUUCCGAAACAUCAUGUUUUCUGGGUACUGCAUCUAUUCAGAUUAGGCACACAACACUAAAAUGUACAUAUUGUUUUUAA